rnacentral:lncRNA from 1 species
AACUUACUGAUGGAUGAAACCCAAUAAGUAUUUCUUCAAUUCAAUCACAAGAUGUAAACCCACAAUAGUUGAUAAGUGUUUUGAAAGAAAACAAGAAAAAUAUCUGAUGAAAAAGAGGAAGCAAUUUUACGUACCACCCUCCGAGUUAAUUGUCCGAUCCCCCCUACAGGUCUUUAAAUAGUCAGCCCUAAAUAAGGAAAUAAAAUUAAAAUUUAUGAUUUUCUUCAGAAUAGGUGACGGCAUUCUUGAUGGCGCGUCAUAAGUGUAACAGCUGUACAGGAUGUCGUCAAAGAUUCCAGUGAAUUACUAUCUUCUAAUUUUUCUGACGGCAAGUCUGACAGCGUGUCAAAUAUGUGACAGCCCAUGAAAAAUAUAGUCACAUCCUUUCUGGAAAUCAGCAUAAUCUGCCUCAGGUUGAUGGCCACUUUGACAGCCCAUGAAAAAUAUCGUCACAUCCUUUCUUUUCUUUGGGUUCCUCCCCGAUCACUAGUAUCUGCAUUAAAACAAUAAAAACAAUCAAAAAAACAACAAAAGUUGCUGAAGAUAUCGCAAUUAUUCUAGGUUAAAGGCCUUAAAUAUGUUCGCAAUUGCGCACACAUCAAUAAUGCAAACACAAAUGAAAGUUAAGGAGUUAGUUCAUGUCGAUGGACAAGCACAUUCAGACAACGUCAAGUAACCGCAUCUUAUAUUGUGGAGCCUCAUUUUGCCAUAGGUAGUACUUCGUCCAAACAAACUGAUAUAGAUGAAUCUAGAUUUUGACACAUUUUGGAUUCAGAACAAUUUUAAGUUUUCUUGAAGAGGGAAUGUAUCCAACAAGGGCGGAUAAGAGAGGCCUUGAUGGUGGCGAUAAAGAUAUAUAUCGAUAUGAAUUUAUAAAAUCUAGCUAAAAUGAUUCCUUUAAAAAGUAAGUACCUUAGGCCUCGUUAUUAAUGAAUGAGGAUCUUGUGAUAGAGAUAUCGAAUGCAAGAGAAGUAUUAAUGAUGCCUCACGCUCUUUGGCUAGAAAGAGUUAGAAGUAGAUGAAGAUGAAUAAUAUUCCACAUUCAUUGUCUUGAAGAAGAGUAUUAAAUAAUUGCAGAGUUUUGAAUAAUAUUAUACGUCUGUUGACUGAAAAAAAAUCAAACAUUGAAAGAAUGCUUGACGACAUUCCACUCCAAUUUGGAUCGAAAGAAAGUUAGAUGUAGGUGAAGUUUUCCAGUGGCAUUCCCUAUUUGUGGACUUAAAGAGAAAGUUGAACGAAAGCAAAGUAUUUUUAGAACACUCGACUUUCAUGAACUUUGAGAAAGAUAUUUGUGAAGCGGAGUUUUAACAACACUCUAUAUUCGUGAACAUGGUGUCAAAUAUUGGAGAGUUUGCGUAAUACUCUAUGUUUAUUAAUGUGAAAAUGAUGUUGAAUGAAGGAAGAGUAAAAGAAGGUCAAUUUGAUUGUUCUGAAUCCAUUAAUUUUUGAUUUCUGGAUUAUCUAAAUCAGUUCUAAUACAAAAUACGUCAUAAAAGUUUCAUAACCUUUGGACGAAAGGAUGGCUUCUUAGUUGCGAAGACGAUACCUUGGACCGUCCCGCCUAAGGUAUAUGCAAUAUGACCUAUUACUAGAGUACAAUUUUUCCCUAAAUAUUCAAGAGUAGAACUGAAUAUUUGCGAAAAGGUACACUAACCUAAUUGCACCGACUCUGAAACUAAGGAAUCCAAAGAAGGUUCGGAGGAGUGCAGUACACCCCUUGCAUGUACCACAGUGUGUGAAUUGUGUACGGUCAAAGACUCGAUAAGAAAAUGCAAGUGAUAAAGCAGUAACAAGUAGUGUUGUUCAAACAAAUAAGGAACGGAAGUUUGGAUUUGGCUUGCGUCCUUUCACACAGAGCAUGAAAUAAAGAUAUGUAAAGCAAAUAACAUAAUAAAGCAAAAAAAAAUCCUAAACUAAGCAUGUAAAGGUUAAAACCUAAGUUCUCCUCAUCCCCAGCAAAGUCGUCAUUCUGUCGCCCCCUAUCUCGAACCGGUCGAAACAGCACACAGCAUGUGGUGGCAUUUAAUGAAUCUUGGGAUUUGAAAUUUUUUUUUUUUAGAGUCGCCACCUAACUUUUAGAAAAAAAUUAGGAAAAACCAUUUUUAUUGUGAAACUCUAUUUUGAUCUUUCGAAAAAACUUUUGAGAUUCUGAGUAAGGGUUUUGGUUACUCGAAGGGAAGGAGUUAGGCACCCCUCAGAGCCUAUCCGAAGAUAGUCCUUACGCUAGGUAAAUAUUAGGAAAACUUUUAAUUUGUUAUUUGCUAAAAUAGCGAUAAUAAAACUUUAUUGUUAUUUUUAUUUGUUUUCUUAAAAGGGAAGGAAAUUUACGGUAUAAUAAACAUGAUAACUACCAUGUACAAGGAAGUAAUAUAAUUGUGCAAAAUAUAUGUAUUGAGUACUUUUAGAAUAAAAAUGGGUAGUAAUAUAAUUUACACAUAUUAGAAAGUGCAAAAUAUUGUAAUCUUAUAAAGAAAUUUUAAGACAUGCAAACAUAAUUGAUAACAUACAUUAAUAUGUAAUCCAACAAACACUUAAAGUAACUUGGGUAUAUUCACAUGUACACAUUAAUGCAAAGUGGACCUUAAAGCAACUAGAGGUAAGAUUAAAAUUAGUUCAAAACUUUCAUCUAAGACACACAAUAUUGACACACACAAUUAAAAGAAAAUCAUUCAUCAAAAGAGAAACAGUGUAGACAGGACAACAUAAUGCAACUAAACUGGAACGAAUCAAAUUAACGAAAAGAAACCCAAAGAAAACUUUGACUUCAAGUAAAACCCAAAACAUGCACCGUUAAAAGAAUCUACACAUAUUUACUAACCAAACAGUUUAUAUGAUACCACUUAUGUCAUGUAAAAUAUCUUCUUUUACUCAUAACAAACCCUUCCUACAAGGCAUAUUCCUGAAAACAACACCUAUGUGUAUAGAUUACUACAUACUUUAAAUAGUUCCUUCUAUUGCAUUUGCAAGUGCUGAUAUACAAUUCUAACUUAAGAGCUAAUCUAAGACUCCCUUCGGUCUUGGAAACAACGGUAUAGGAGAAACAAUCUCCCUAUAACCCUCUACCACGCAGGGACAAGAUCAAAGAUACAUUUUCACUGCCCAAACUCUAAAAUCGUGCAUUGAAAUAAGUCAAAAUGAAAUCAUAUUUAAACUCGAUUCACAACAAUUUCACGUUGAUGCUCAGUACAGAAUUAUGAUCAAAAUAGAAAAUCCAAGGAAAUCAAAUACUUACUUACAAAUAUUUUUUUUUAGAUUUAAAGGCACUCAAAAUCAUAGGUAAGCUCGUGUUUCAGAAUCAGUAACAAAACAUAACCGGGGUUAGAAUUGCUUCAUGGAUUCGAUUUCCCUUUAAACUAGUAGCAAACUACGACAUGUCCAUGCCUACAGCCCCAUGCAACCACAAAAAAAUUUAUAUUCUAUCAAUAUUCCCAACUAAAUUUCAAUCGUGACAACCAAAUGGGAUAAAUACAUACACUUUUAUAAUUCGCGUAUUCAACACCGAAUGAUCUUUUUGAUUAAAGAAACUAUAUCUCAUACUCAUAAGAUCAAGCUAACAACAUCCACACAACUCAACAUCAACAUAAAUAUCACAUCCGACAAAAUUUAAAAAAAAAGUAAUGAAGAGAAGAAGUUAACAAAGAAACGAGAAGGGGUGAGUUCGCACCUUUUGGGGUGCAGCAAACAAAGGCUUCCCGUCAAGUAUUUUACAGCGAUUAACUCGAAUUGCAGAGCUUAGAAUUUAGGCCGGAAAUCAGAAAAGAAGGCUACCAAUUCUUUGAGAACCCUGUUCUCUGCUCCCUAUUUUCAGUCAUUUUUUCUAUUUUUAACGGAUUUUCUUUACUCUUCUCACGAAAUUUGCUUUUCUUUCCAGGUCUUUCACCCUCUCUCCAUUUUCUCCCUUCUCCCUUACCCAAGACUCAUUUUAAAAUGGAUAAAAAUGUGGGUAUUUAUAGGCAAAUCUGGACUUGAAAGUCCGAAUUUGAAAUAAAAAAAUUAAAGAAACCAACGAGCAAAUUGGAAGGGGGAAAUCAAAAUUCAAAAAUUGAAAGGGACAAAUCCCUCCUCAAAUUUGGACGAUUCUCGAGCUUUUAAUGUAAAUUUGAAAUCAAAAAUUAACUUUUGCAUCAAUUUGGGUCUGUUCUUACUGUCCCAGUGAAGUCACGAAUUGUAGACGACCCAAAAGCAAAAGAUUCUCCUCAGAGGAGCGGCAGCUAUGGUGGUGACGCGGUUAAUUUAGGACAUCCAAUUUGGUGAUUGUGAAAGAAAGGUGAAGAAGAGAGAGGCGAAAGAUCGGUUGUUGUUGCGUCGAUUUGGGAAAGUUGAAAGAG